UUAAAAACAACUGCUAUCCUUUAUCUAAGGCACCGCUUGGAAUAGAUAAUGUGAACAAAAAAUAUGGUGAAUUCCAAACUUGAGAACACAGCUUCAAACAGCAACUUCACGCUUCAAAACAUCAGCAACCAGCACGAUAAGCAUAGCAACUUGGUGACAGUUUUUCGCAUCAGAAACAAAAUCUUUUACUGAAUCUCUUUUCUUUUUCCUGCUUGUAUAGUUGUACCUGUUGUAAAUUUUUGUAUAUACAGCAUUCAAAACUUACUCAUGUCUACUGUAAAACAAUAUGGCACAGAAUGUUGAUAAUCUUAAUAAUAAAGCAAAGAUAGUCUCCAGCUAAAUCUCCCGUCUAAAACUGCACUUAAAUCAGUUUUCCAUCUCCAAAGUCUCAAAUAAAAUGACUGCUUAAAAACUCUACGUUUAUUGUGCAUUUUCUAUUAUCAUAAAUGUUCCACUAUCUCAUUAAGCUAGAAUAAUCUCUAGCUCCAAUCAAUUGAUUGCACCGUGAAGACAACCAAUGAAAGGAAACCCGUGCUGCAAUUAAGAGUGUCUCUUCCUUUGCCUGGGUCACAGCCUCGCAAGUCAUUAUUUCCAAUGUUGCAUUUCCUUUGUCAUUCUUCUCUCUCCGUCCCUUUCUUUCUCCAAACACUUCCACUGCUCUUUAUCAAUGAUGGAUUUUAAGAAUUGCUAUCGUGGGCAAAUAUGGGGUGAUGGUGAGAAGAGAUGCCGCAGCCGAUUGCCGAACAACUCAUUCCUAUGAUUCUGACCACGAUAUUGCGAUGCUAAAUAUGAUGAGAAUGAAUAUUUGAAAGAAGGAGAGCAAGAGGAAGUGGGGUGGAAAACGUAAUCAACAUAAAAAUAGUUUCGCAAUUCACUUCCACGCAUAUUCCAGCUUCUGAUGUGAAAAACGUAAUCAAAGCAAGUUCUUAAAAGGAGGUUUGCUCUGUUUAUGCUUCCCCAAAGGGAUGAUAUCUUGAAAAAAGAAACUUCAAGUACACAAGAACUAAGAGCUAAGGAUUUUGAUAAUGAAGAUUAAGAGAGACACGUGAUAAGGAGGCCACCAACACUUGAAUAACUAAUUAUGAUUAGCAGAAGACAAAGACACGGAAGGAAAGCAGUUCAAAUGAAAAAAUGGGAUCCACCAAAGGUAAUAAUAUAACUUCCAAUACUCCAUUUUGAUAUUCCUUUUACUAAUUGAAUUUUCAUGACUAUAAAAUUUUAGAACUCGGUUUAAAAUAGGCAACUUGGUACCUUAUCACUUUAAAGUCAAGUAAUUCCAUAUGGGGUUUAUUAUGGAACAUAAUGUAAAAGUGAAAAGGAAGCACAUAUUAUUUUCUAUUCAAGUUGUGGACAAAGUUGUUUCAAUCUGCAUACAAUAUUAUAUCUAAUGGGUUAUUUAUUCACACACUUAUUGAUAUUUUGUAACUGCAUAAUGGCAUAAUUGCAGGUUUCUUCCCUGCAAUUAUAGUUGGUAAUUAUAGGUUUUGAAUUCUUUCUUUUACAUAUUUUUUCUUCAAGAAUUUUAGUGGGUGAGACGAAGUUGAUAAAUUGUUUUAAAUCAUUGAAAUUUUGUUAGAGAAAACACACAAAAAAUUGAUGUGUAAUUUGAUUUGUGUCUGUAAGUGCUUAAAUUAGUUUUUCAGUUUGAAAACAAGGUCGAAUGAUGCUGUGAAAUUUUUGCCUUAGUAAAAGAGCAAGGAAUUUCCUCAUUGCACCCUUCAAACAACUUAUAGCUUUUAGAUUAGUAUGUGUAGAUUCUGUAUAUGGAUUGGUCCUCAUUUGGUUCUCAUUCCUGUAUAAUUUAUACCAUCUACUCAAACACGGUUUAUAUCAUUGAUUUAUUUGUAUUGCUGCUAUAUUUUUCUUCUUCCUCUUUAUUCAUUUUGAUAUAUAGGUUUUGCACAUUUUUCCAUGUUUUAGUUGGAUAUAUUGGUUAUGCACAGUUUCUUUCACGUUAGAGGAUGACUCAUGAAAUCCAUAUAGAUCUUUGUUGUUUUGCAUCUCGGGUAUCUCUGAGCCUUAUACGAGAACAUAUACACUAAGAUAUAAUAGAUGCUGCCAACAUAUGUAAGAUUUCAAAGGUGAGAUUUUUUUUAAUUAAAAUUACCAGCAAUUAAGUUAUUUCUUUAUGUCACGAAAUUGUUUCAUUGUUUCACUUGUUUCUUUUUUUCUUUUUUUGUUUUUAAUGUAGAAGACAAUAAGGUUGCCACUUCUUUUUUCUAUUUAUUUUUAUCACAAAAUCCCCCACAUGUUAUUUGGGAGAUCAGCAGACUUUAAAAACUAAAUUAAAGAGGAUUAUUCUGAAGAACAAAUCAAGCAAACAGGGUUCUGUUGUUAUAGAUUUUAUUAAGCUAAUUGUGUUUGAAUAUUGUUUCUUUAUUUCCCUCUUUGGAAUGGAGUGGCUAUAUUUUGUUGUAGUUGUUCCACAUGUACAAUGCUUAAUCUCUGUUUCAAGUGAAAAUAUCAGUCCACAACAACAAAGUUCACAUC